CUAGGACUUUUGUGAGCUACUCUAGUCAUAUCCUUAGUAUCUCUGUACAAAGCAAUAUAUUCUUCACUUACAUUGAGAGUUUGAGUUAUCACCUGUCUUCAAAGGAAUAAAAUGUUAGCCAAAAUUGUGAUAGCAGAUGAGGUGGUGUGUGUACAGUAAGAAUAAGGUAAGGAUAGGAUACCAGGAACCCUAGGGAGGAAGAGCCCAAGAAAGAUCUCUAAGAGAAGUGGGACUGUACAGAAGACAGGGCUUUCCUGACCACCUCAAGAGGAACAGUAACAGCAACCUGUAUUGGGUUGAAUGAUGGCACUCCAAAAGACAAAAAGUGACAGAGGGAGAGAGACAAAAAGAAAGCCCUGUGAAGGCUGAGACAGCCCUGUGAUACCAGCUACAAGGUGUGGGCCCAAGGACUGCCGACAGCCCUCCAAAGCUGAAGAGCAUCAGGAUUCCCUCCUCGAGCCUCUGGAGGAAACACAUCCCCACCAAGACUUCAAUUUUGGACUUCUGGCCUCCAGAUCAGUGAGAGAACUGAUUUCUAUUGUUUUAAGCCACCGAGCCUUUGGUAAUUUAUGUCUGCUACAGGAAACUGAUCUACAAUCCAGCCCUGUCACUUUCUAUCCUUUUUUUUUUGGUAUUGGGGAUUGAACUUGGGACCUUGCACUUUUGAGGCAGGCGGUGGAACCACUGAGCUAAAUCCCUGGCCCAUAUCCUUUUUAUUCUUACCUUUCUUUAGAAUCUAUAUCUGCCUAUCUAUAUCUGAAAGCAUCUGACACAUUUUUUAUUUGCCUGGACACAUUUAUUCUGUGAUUUCUAAUGCAAACCAUGGUCUUUGUUUUUUAUUCAUUGCUGUGUCUCCAGCAUCUAGAACAGUGCCUGGCACAAAGUAGGUGCUUAGUAGUCACUGAGUGGGUGAGAUAUUGGGUUCUGAGACUGUCUAGUAACUUGGAAUUACUUUUUGCCUAACCAAGGAAACAAAAGAAUCCCAGUUCUGGUGAUACAGAGUUGCACAAUGGAAGAGAUGUAGAUGUUAGUCAUGGCUCUGCCACUUAGCAGCUGAUGACGUGGACUCUGAGCCUCAGUUUCACUGAUAGCAGUGUAAGGUUAUACUCAUCUUUACUUUCCAAGGUCACUUUAAGGGGUGAAGGGAAUGAUGAUAUUGAAAGAGUGACUUGUGUGUGGCCAGGUGUAGUGGCACAGGCCAAACUACAU